GUUCUGUUCCGUCGUCCUCGGGACGUUAAGGCGCUCUGGUCGAGGAUAAACGACCCCUCUGACCGAGGCUAAGCGGUCGCUGUGUUACCUCUGUUCGAGGCACACGUUAAAGAUCGUUCCGCGUUGUGAGUCUAACAAGUUGUAAACUUUUACAACCGGCAGCGCUGGAUCCCUUGGCACGUCAUUCGAUGAAGACCGUUGCAAAUUGCGAUAAAGUGAUGUGAUGCGCAAGUCCACCACUUAUACGUGAAUCAUCGAGUUGUUGAACGCAUUGCACCGCGCCCUAAACCGGCUGCGGUAUGCCCCUUUGAGCGUCAUUUAUUCCUUCGGGAGUCUUUCCUUGCGGAAGACCCGAGUUCGGAGUCCUCGGUCUUUGGAUCGUGUUCUCUUAGAUGCGUCGCGCCGAUCGCCUGAUGGGUACUCUAAUGCCUGAGCGUGGAGUCCCUCUGGAGUUGAGACGUGCUUGACCGGCCGUUGGGCUCGCGUCACCAAGUCCGCGUCCUUUGGGAUGGCGGUACUACAACGCAUGACCUCAUUGGGGUAGGACAACCCGCUAGACUUAAGCAUAUUAAUCAGCGGAGGAAAAGAAACUAACCAGGAUUCCCCUAGUAACUGCGAGUGAAGAGGGAUCGGCUCAAUGUGUGAAUCUGGCUUGGGGUAAACCCGUGUCCGAGUUGUGCACUAUGGACGCUUUGUCUGCGUAUGUAACGGCGGUGGAAGUCCGUUGAAACACGGCACCUCAGAGGGUCACAGUCCUGUACCACCUGCCUGCACUCGCGCCAAUGACAAGCACUCCUCGAGUCGCGUAGUUUUGUAAUGCUGCGCCAAGUGGGAGGUAGAGACCUUCUAAGGCUAAAUAUGAUGACGUGACCGAUAGCACACAAGUACCGCGAGGGAAAGGUGAAAAGCAACCAUGAAAAAUGGGUUGAAACAGUAGUGAAAGCGCUUCCGGGAUAAGGGCUAUCGGGUGCUGGGGCUCUUUGGGUGUGCUUUAGUGCUACCCUUGGAGACGGCCCGCGCGGGUUGAUGUUGGGGUGAUAGACGCGCCGUUGGAAUU
rnacentral:rRNA from 1 species